UAUCCCUUCAAAAUUAAUUUUCUGCUUGUUUUUAGACACCCUGUGUGUGCUGGUUCUUCCAUGACCUUGAUGGCACAGGCAGUGGCAGCUAAAACCCUGCUUUACUUUGUCAACACUGAGAUUCACUCCUAUGUUAUAAAACAAGUUCAGGGGUUGUCACUAUCUUCCACACCAGUGCAUCUGAUCUCUCCUGACAAAGGGGCAUGAGAUGGUUGUAUUCAUCUCAUGAAUACCCUGUUAGAGGUUUUUCAGCAGACACAGUCUGGGCUGUUUGCUUCUAUUCACCACACGCUGGGACGCCUCCACCAUUACACCAGGUGCUGGCUGCCCUUGGAUAGCUCCUAGCACCACCGUCCCGCAGAGAGCGGCUUCUCCAAGGCCCAACACAGCGCAGGGAACUCUGCUAAAUCCUUCCUGCUUCCCUAAGGAUUCCAUCCCAUUUUCCCAAGUCUGAUUCACCCUCGGGGGUCUCUGCUUCCCAGCCACCGCGCCGCCCUUUUGUCCUCGGUGCGAGGCCUCGGCUGAGCUCCUCUUUCUCAUAUGUCAACACUCGCCCUUAAUUAGCGCCCGCCGCAC